UCUUAAAGCAGAUAGUACACUCUAAGACCUUCUCAUCAACAUGUUCCAGAAACUGAUUCAACUUACUGGUAGCCAUCUUGAAUUGAUAUCCUGUGAAAUUUAAAUAAUAGGGUCUGAUAGUCUUUAAGAGGAUCAUACAACAAGCAGAGUACUGCAGAGUAGAACAGAACAAGUGAACACAGAUGAGGCGGAGGCGGAGCUUAGUAUUUACUGUGUCAUCUGGUUCGCCGAGAACCAUCAGACAUUUUCAAAUAUGUUUAAGAAAGAAUCUGAAAAUAUCCAGAUAUAUCAAUAAUUGUCUUUGAAAGAAUUAGCAGGCUAUGGCAGAAUUUGAAAAAAUAGUGCAACAUAAUAUGGAAAAGAAUUCUGAAAUUGAAUUUGAAAUAGACACUUGCAGUGAUGUUUCCAACAAUGAAGAAAGUAAAGACAGACCUAAUGAAACAUGCUUAAUUUCAG